UAGAACCAUACAAAUGUUAACAUUCUUUUCUACACGGUUAUAUACUCAUUUAGAUAAGUUAUGAAAAGUUCAAAAGUAUUGCAAUAUAGAAUAGAGUUGAGUUUUAGAACGUGAUGUAAUAAUACUAAUAAUCUAAUACACACACAAAGAUAAAGCUUACAAAAGUCUACUAAUAACAACCUUAUUUUUUUUAUAUUUGUCAUAACCCAGUGAUAAAGAGUAAAUAAAUUUCUUCAACCAUACACCUUCGACCAAUCUAUCAUCAUCACUCCCCACCAAACAAAACUAAAAUGUCUGCUAUUUACAAUUUUAGAGAUAUGUUAAAAUUUAUUUUUUUAUUCU
rnacentral:lncRNA from 1 species